UACAGAGGGUGCAAGCGUUGUUCGGAUUUACUGGGCGUAAAGCGCGUGUAGGCGGUGGCGUAAGUCGGAUGUGAAAUCCCUCGGCUUAACCGAGGACGUGCAUCCGAUACUGCGUCACUUGAGUGUCGGAGGGGAUGGCGGAAUUCCCGGUGUAGAGGUGAAAUUCGUAGAUAUCGGGAGGAACACCUGUGGCGAAGGCGGCCAUCUGGACGACAACUGACGCUGAGACGCGAAAGCGUGGGUAGCAAACAGG
rnacentral:rRNA from 1 species